rnacentral:rRNA from 1 species
GACGAACGCUGGCGGCGUGCUUAACACAUGCAAGUCGAACGGGCCUUGUCCCCUUUUUUUUUGGGGGUGGGGUUAGUGGCGAACGGGUGAGUAACACGUGAGUAACCUGCCCCUCACUUCUGGAUAACCGCUUGAAAGGGUGGCUAAUACGGGGUGUUCUGCCCUGCUCGCAUGGGUGGGUUUGGAAAGAUUCGACCGGUUUGGUUGUUUUGGUGGGGGAUGGGCGCGCGGCCUAUCAGCUUGUUGGUGGGGUGAUGGCCUGCCAAGGCUUUGCCGGGUAGCCGGCCUGAGAGGGUGAGCGGUCACAGUGGGACUGAGACACGGCCCAGACUCCUACGGGAGGCAGCAGUGGGGAAUAUUGCACAAGGGGCGCAAGCCUGAUGCAGCGACGCCGCGUGAGGGAUGGAGGCCUUCGGGUUGUGAACCUCUUUCGCCAGAGAAGAAGGUCCUGCUCUUUGUGGUGGGGUUGACGGUAGCUGGGUUAAUGAAGCGCCGGCUAACUACGUG